ACUCGUGUUUGUGGUGAUGCUGGUGUAAACAAACCUACUGCACUGCCAGUCAUGUGAAAUUAUAGCAUAUACGGUUAUGUACCGUACAUAAUACUUGAUAAGAAACGACUACAUUAUUGGCUUAUGUAGUUACUAUAUCAUUAUUUUAGAGUAUACUUUUGCUCAUAAAAAAAAAAAAGUUAACUGUAAAAUAGCCUCAGGCAAGCCCUUCAGGAGGUAUUUCAGAAGAAGGCAUUGUUAUCAAAGGAGAUAACAGGUCCAGGCCUGCUGAAGACCUUUCCCUGGGACAAGAUAUGCAGAGAGCGCCAGCCUGUUCCUCUCCAUCAUCGUCUUCCACUUGUCACCUUGGAAGUGUCUACUGCAAGCAGUCAUCAUGUUUAUUGGGACCAAAAAGUUCCUGUAUUACAACCAAGUACAGCCAGAAGAAAAGACAGUGAUUCUCACAUAGAAACAGCAACAUGUUUAUAAGGAAAUAUUAAUGCCACAAUCUUCAAUCAGUAUCGGCUUCUGCCUUAUAUGUUUUAUUUUUUUUUUUUUCUUUUAAUGUGACCUCUGGACUGAACACCUUAUAUGUUUUAAAAUAGCACGUUAUUCUUUUCCUAAUCCAAAGAGUAAUGCCUCAUAUAAUUAUAAAUAAUAGAAUACUAAAAUAAUCUUAAAAGGAUAAACUAUGGAAGUAAAAACCACA